rnacentral:ncRNA from 1 species
CUAAACUUGCGGCACUCUGGUGCCCGCGCGCGCUUUUCAGUGCGCGUAGUUAAACGGGAAGCAGGACGCGCGCGGUGCUCAGCAACCGUCGCGCGAACCUGCGCUGCCCCCGCAACGGUAAGCGACCGCAUGUCGUCAUGCAGGUCGGUCCUGAUCGCAGGUUCGAGGUUCAACUUGCGAGUUUGCCACUGCGCGUUACGCGUGGGAAGGCGGGACCGAUGUGUCGCAGCCCGGAUACCGGCCAGAGGGAGAGGACGUCC